rnacentral:rRNA from 1 species
GACGAACGCUGGCGGCGUGCUUAACACAUGCAAGUCGAACGGAAAGGCCCUGCUUUUGUGGGGUGCUCGAGUGGCGAACGGGUGAGUAACACGUGAGUAACCUGCCCUUGACUUUGGGAUAACUUCAGGAAACUGGGGCUAAUACCGGAUAGGAGCUCCUGCUGCAUGGUGGGGGUUGGAAAGUUUCGGCGGUUGGGGAUGGACUCGCGGCUUAUCAGCUUGUUGGUGGGGUAGUGGCUUACCAAGGCUUUGACGGGUAGCCGGCCUGAGAGGGUGGCCGGCCACCUUGGGACUGCGAUACGGCCCAGACUCCUACGGGAGGCAGCAGUGGGGAAUAUUGCACAAUGGGCGGAAGCCUGAUGCAGCAACGCCGCGUGCGGGAUGACGGCCUUCGGGUUGUAAACCGCUUUCGCCUGUGACGAAGCGUGAGUGACGGUAAUGGGUAAAGAAGCACCGGCUAACUACGUG